AGUAGCGCGUGGGUCAUCUGCCCCGAAGUGGGGGAUAACGCUCCGAAAGGUGUGCUAAUCCCGCAUAUUUCCACUGGUAUCAGUACUGGUGGACAAAGCCGCAAGGCGCUUUGGGAGGAGCCCGCGUCCCAUUAGCUUGUUGGCGGGGUAAAAGCCCACCAAGGCUUUGAUGGGUGGCUGGUCUGAGAGGACGACCAGCCAGACUGGGACUGAGACACGGCCCGAG
rnacentral:rRNA from 1 species